GUCAUCCUACGGGGCGCAGCAGUGGGGAAUAUUGCACAAUGGGGGAAACCCUGAUGCAGCGACGCCGCGUGAGUGAAGAAGUAUUUCGGUAUGUAAAGCUCUAUCAGCAGGGAAGAAAUACUGACCUUACGGUCAGCAGACGGUACCUGACUAAGAAGCCCCGGCUAACUACGUGCCAGCAGCCGCGGUAAUACGUAGGGGGCAAGCGUUAUCCGGAUUUACUGGGUGUAAAGGGAGCGUAGACGGCUGGCCAAGUCUGAAGUGAAAGCCCGGGGCUUAACCCCGGAACGGCUUUGGAAACUGGC
rnacentral:rRNA from 1 species